UGAAGUAAAGAGUGUCGUACAAACCUUUAUCAAGGCAGUUUUUUCUUCAUGUUCAUCUUCUUGUUGUGCCUCUAGCUGCUUCAUCUGACAUGAGCAACAUCUCAUACUGAAAACGAAACACCGGAUAUUCACUUGCGUGYUUUACACUCUUAAAACCAAGAUAUAACAGCACUGGUAAUGAUUUCACKCAGGUUUGAACUAUACACCUUCGUAUGGUGGGAACCACAUAUGUACAAUUUGUGCAAGUACCUGCAGGGUGCCACAAGUAAUUAAACCAGCUGAAUCAAAGUCCAGGCUCACAAGCAAGGUUAGCUUUGAUGCAUUUUUGUUCAG